rnacentral:rRNA from 1 species
UACGGGGGGGGGCAAGCGUUGUUCGGAAUUACUGGGCGUAAAGGGCUUGUAGGUGGCCAACUAAGUCAGACGUGAAAUCCCUCGGCUUAACCGGGGAACUGCGUCUGAUACUGGAUGGCUAGAGUGUGGGAGAGGGAUGCGGAAUUCCAGGUGUAGCGGUGAAAUGCGUAGAUAUCAUUUGGAACGCCAAUGGUGAAAACAGGUAGCUGGGAGUGUGCUGACGCUGAGACACGAAAGCCAGGGGAGCAAACGGG